UGGGGAAUCUUCCGCAAUGGACGAAAGUCUGACGGAGCAACGCCGCGUGAGUGAUGACGGCCUUCGGGUUGUAAAGCUCUGUUAAUCGGGACGAAUGGUUCUUGUGCGAAUAGUGCAAGGAUUUGACGGUACCGGAAUAGAAAGCCACGUCUAACUACGUGCCAGCAGCCGCGGUAAUACGUAGGUGGCAAGCGUUGUCCGGAAUUAUUGGGCGUAAAGCGCGCGCAGGCGGAUUGGUCAGUCUGUCUUAAAAGUUCGGGGCUUAACCCCGUGAUGGGAUGGAAACUGCCAAUCUAGAGUAUCGGAGAGGACAGUGGAAUUCCUAGUGUAGCGGUGAAAUGCGUAGAUAUUAGGAAGAACACCAGUGGCGAAGGCGACUUUCUGGACGAAAACUGACGCUGAGGCGCGAAAGCCAGGGGAGCGAACGGG
rnacentral:rRNA from 1 species